GUUCCAGAUAUGCUGAUGAGAAUGGUAAUUUCCACACUGGAUAUGCUGUAGUCUCUGCACAUGAGGUAAUAAAAGCUGAACCACUCGCUCCUCACUGCUCUGCACAGGAGGCAGAGCUGAAGGCACUCGCUGAAGCGUGUAAAAUAGCUUCUGGUAAGACUGCUAAUAUUUAUACAGACUCUCGCUAUGCUUUCGGUAUAGCCCAUGAUUUUGGCCCUAUAUGACAGGCCUGUGAUUUUCUCACCUCAGCAGGAUCUCCAAUCAAGAACUCUGAAGUCGUGAGUGCACUUAUGGACGCUAUCCUGCUACCCACUCAAGUAGGC